rnacentral:lncRNA from 1 species
AGUGCGUCCGCCUCCCAUGCCGGAGACCCGGGUUCGAGUCCCGCUCGGAGCGAGUCGUUGCUGCUGCUGCUCUCGUUCAGUUUCAGCCUCGGGAUCUGAUUCUGGAUCAUAAAUAAACGGCUGAAUCUGACUGUUAGCCAUGGUUUGUUUUGGAUGAUGUUUUUUCCUCAAGGUAAUGUCACAGCUUCCAAACGCUCUCAACGCAAAAGCCUACUGAGGCUCGUGAUUCUUUAGCUCUGCCCACACAUCACGCCUCCGUCAGUCAUGUUUUUCCAGGGAAAAUCGGUACAGACUAUCUUUCUCUUACGAAUAUAAUAAAACUAAAGACUUUUUGGAGUUAUGAAGGAUGCAGUACUACUCUAUAGGUACUCAAGAUUAACAGGAUAUUGAGUGAAAAUGAGCAUUUCACCCCCCCCCCCCCCUUAAGGAAAUGUAUUAUUACCUUUCCCUUGGCAUCAUAAAGUAAAUCAUUCUAAACUUUUGUUUAAAAUGGAAUAAAAGUUUAUUAGACACAACUAACAUAAAGACCACAUGUAGUUUCAGCUCGAUUUUAUCAUAUUUCAUUUGAUUUGUCAUUAUUUGUGAUACACUGCUUUGUUUAAUUCAUAGUUUGCAGAGAAAGACUUGGAGAGGAUUUGUUUAAACAGUGACUGACUAUCUGUAACAAGUGAUUUUGAUGCUGUUUUCAAAAAGCCAGAGAUAAAGUUUGAAUUAAAAUUUUGAAAAAUAUGCUCGAUGUGAAAUCUCUCUCUUUCUUCCAGAGGUACAGGAAUGGAUGGAUGCUGGGACUCUCGGCAGCUACAACAAAUUCAACAACGACUGUUACAAGUGUGUCCUUCCUCUCACAAAGUCUCUUACACAUAAGUUUGAAAACAAUGAUGACUGUAUUCACUUUCAUGUCACUUUUUACAGUAAUGUCUUUUUUGGAAUGAUUCAUUUACAUUAUUUGGCAAAUCCUUUUAUCUAAAACGAUGUACAUUGCAUUAAAGGUACACAUUAUUCAUGUAUCCACUGGGAAUCAAACCCAUGAUACUGAUGUUACUAGUGCAGUCUAAUGAUGCUUGUUUAUCUAGUGUAGUUGUUUAUGUACUAUUGUAUUCUUUUAUUAUUAAGAAUUUGAAACUUUUAUUUUUAUAUUUUCAAUUUUAAUUUAGUUAUUUUUUUGUUUUCACCAUUAUUCUAAUUUUGUAUUAAAAAAAAAAAACAUUUCAAAAUAGUUUAUAUAUUUAUAUAUUACUUUUAUUUUGUUUCAUUUUAGUACAUCAACUUAAACUUAUGUAAUUAGUAACCACCGAAACAACACAUGUGCCUCAGUUCCCCUUUAGGAACUCGAGCUGUGUCCAACUCUUUGGGAACAACUUGUCGAGACAUGGUACUGAAGCAUGUGUGAAAUCAGUCCAACAGUGAAGCAAAAUGUCAAGAACAGGGUGACGUGAGCGACGAGAAAGCAUAAA